rnacentral:snRNA from 1 species
GGAUGUGAGGGUGAUCUGUCUGUGACAUCUGUCACCCCAUUGAUUGCCAGGGUUGAUUUGGCCGAUCUGGUUGGCUGGGCGGGUGUCGCUGUCCGCCCUCACUGCUCCAUGUGCGUCCCUCCCAAAGCUGUGCGCUCCAUGGAAGAGGAUGAUCUUCCCCAAUGGAGGAGGACCGUUCUUCUGUCAAGGGUAUAGAGUAGUUGCACUCCCCGGCUAGAACCUCCAAACAAGCUCUCAAAGAGCCUGUUGUUGAUUACAUGUGUAAUGUCGUCC